AAUACAACUUUCAACAACGGAUCUCUUGGCUCUCGCAUCGAUGAAGAACGCAGCGAAAUGCGAUAAGUAAUGUGAAUUGCAGAAUUCAGUGAAUCAUUGAAUCUUUGAACGCACCUUGCGCUCCUUGGUAUUCCGAGGAGCAUGCCUGUUUGAGUGUCA
rnacentral:rRNA from 1 species